UACAGAGGUCUCGAGCGUUAGGCGGAAUCACUGGGCUUAAAGCGUAUGUAGGCGGAUCGUUAAGUGCCUUGUGAAAUCCCACGGCUUAACCGUGGAACUGCUUGGCAUACUGGCGAUCUUGAGCAACCUAGGGGCGAGCGGAACAAAUGGUGGAGCGGUGAAAUGCGUAGAUAUCAUUUGGAACGCCAAUGGUGAAAACAGCUCGCUGGGGGUUUGCUGACGCUGAGACACGAAAGCCAGGGGAGCAAACGGG
rnacentral:rRNA from 1 species